rnacentral:SRP_RNA from 1 species
ACGAAAAUAGUAUAUAAUAUUUAUACUUAAAGAUUAAAUAAAAGCGGUUGCAUUUUUAGCGUAGCGUAUGGGCCCUGUGCGACGGGAUGCUACGAACCUUGUCAGGCGGGGAACCGAGCAGCAAUAAGUGGAUUAUUCUGUGCGCCGCAGACAAGUCUGUACGUUACGUUAAGAAUGCAGCUGCAUUUUUUUAUUUGU